UACGUAGGGGGCUAGCGUUGUCCGGAAUCAUUGGGCGUAAAGAGCGUGUAGGCGGCCCGGUAAGUCCGCUGUGAAAGUCGGGGGCUCAACCCUCGAAUGCCGGUGGAUACUGUCGGGCUAGAGUGCGGAAGAGGCGAGUGGAAUUCCUGGUGUAGCGGUGAAAUGCGCAGAUAUCAGGAGGAACACCAAUUGCGAAGGCAGCUCGCUGGGACGUAACUGACUCUGAGACGCGAAAGCCAGGGGAGCGAACGGG
rnacentral:rRNA from 1 species